UUCAAAACUCAAAACCAAGCAUUUUACCCAUUACUUCAAGGGGGUUUAAGGCACAGAUUCAAUUCUUUUAAUUCUUUCUCUAUCUUUAUCUUCUGAUGAGUUCCAAAAAUUUCAAGGCUUUGCUAAAAGCCGCAAUUGGUUAGUGAAAAGAACAGAUUUUUUCAAGUUUACAAAGGAGAGGCUGCCGUAGCAACUGAUAGGGUACCACUUUUGGGAGAAAAUGAGUCGCCUAAAUUCAUGGGAAUUGAACUUUCUUCCUUCUCCUGGCAUCAUUUGUGCCUUUGUUCUUUUGUUAAAGAGAUAUUAUGGUUUUACAAGUAAACAAUAGGCAAGUAUGUGUAAUUCGUGGUAUCUUUUUGCAAGGAAACUUGUAAAGAAAUGCUGAAAUUCGGAAGAAACAAAUUGUUUCACAUAUCGGUGGCUCCAAACCUACCUCCAGAAGAAGGACUGAAAUGAUGGCUGAAACUGGACAAAAGCCGGACGAGGACAGCUUUAUCUCGCUACACAUAGGAAUGAAGAUGAAUCAUAUGUUAAUGAGGCGGCAAAAGAGAUAUGUGAAAAAAUUAAACUAGCAUUGAACCAAAGCACCGUGGAUGAGUCUAAAAUUUCGCCAAAUGAUGAUGUUGGUAAGGUACUGGGAAAAGAGCACUCUGGAAGGGUAAGGUGCUUGGGAUUAGGGCAGAGUUUUUAGACAAACAAGACCUCGUUAUAGUGAUUUGAAUGCUUCAAGUUAUAAUAAUGGUUCAUGUUCUUCUCAAUAUCAUACAAUCAAAUGUUGAAUGCUCACAAUCAAAGCCAAGAGAACUACAGAGAAAUGAUGAAUGUUAACACUCAAAUGAUGAAUGCUUUUAGGCAUAUAUGGUAAUGAAAGAAGGGAGGAUACCUAAAGAAUUUGCAAGGAUCUUUGUUUCUCCUCCUCCUUCAACGCCAAGUGAUGCGGCUAGCGGAUCCAUUUAACCCAUGGAUGUAAGAAGAUCAUCUGGUGGAAGUAAUCCUAACGACAACCAUUGAAGUUGCUUGCCAAUGUAUCGUACUCGAUUGAAUGGUCAUAAUAGAUCUUUUAUCCAUAAUAUUUGGAGUAGAUGUUCUGUUUAAAGUUAGUUUUAAUACUAACUAUAAUACUGAUGUUUUGUGUUUAAUGGAUGUAGUAGU